rnacentral:rRNA from 1 species
GAUGAACGCUGGCGGCGUGCCUAAUACAUGCAAGUCGAGCGAACAGAUGAGGAGCUUGCUCCUCUUACGUUAGCGGCGGACGGGUGAGUAACACGUGGAUAACCUACCUAUAAGACUGGGAUAACUUCGGGAAACCGGAGCUAAUACCGGAUAAUAUAUUGAACCGCAUGGUUCAAUAGUUAAAGACGGUUUUGCUGUCACUUAUAGAUGGAUCCUCGCCGCAUUAGCUAGUUGGUAAGGUAACGGCUUACCAAGGCAACGAUGCGUAGCCGACCUGAGAGGGUGAUCGGCCACACUGGAACUGAGACACGGUCCAGACUCCUACGGGAGGCAGCAGUAGGGAAUCUUCCGCAAUGGGCGAAAGCCUGACGGAGCAACGCCGCGUGAGUGAUGAAGGUCUUCGGAUCGUAAAACUCUGUUAUUAGGGAAGAACAAAUGUGUAAGUAAAUAUGCACGUCUUGACGGUACCUAAUCAGAAAGCCACGGCUAACUACGUG